rnacentral:sRNA from 1 species
UCUUAACACAGGGAAGUCGAACGAGAAAUCCUGAGCAAUCGGGAGAGUACAGUGUUUUCACCGGUGAGUAACGCGUGGGUAAUCUGCCCUGGAGUUGGGAAUAACACUUCGAAAGGAGUGCUAAUACCCGAUAUAAUCCUGAAGACCCCGGUUUUGGGGAUGAAAGAGGGCUGAGGCUUGAGAGCUCUCGCUCCAGGAUGAGCCCGCGUACCAUUAGCUAGUUGGUGGGGUAAAGGCCCACCAAGGCAACGAUGGUUAGCUGGUCUGAGAGGAUGGCCAGCCACACGGGAACUGAGAUACGGUCCAGACUCCUACGGGAGGCAGCAGUGGG